UACAGAGGCCUCAAGCGUUACCCGGAAUCACUGGGCGUAAAGGGUGUCAAGGCGGUCGUAUUAGUCGUUUGUAAAAUCCGUGGGCUCAACUUACGGUCCGCAAGCGAAACGGUACGACUUGAGAGCGCGAGAGGUGCAUGGAACUCACGGUGGAGGGGUGAAAUCCGUUGAUAUCGUGGGGAACACCAAAGGCGAAGGCAGUGCACUGGCGCGUUUCUGACGCUCACACACGAAAGCCAGGGGAUCGAACGGG
rnacentral:rRNA from 1 species